AUUGAACGCUGGCGGCAGGCCUAACACAUGCAAGUCGAACGGUAACAGGAAGCAGCUUGCUGCUUUGCUGACGAGUGGCGGACGGGUGAGUAAUGUCUGGGAAACUGCCCGAUGGAGGGGGAUAACUACUGGAAACGGUAGCUAAUACCGCAUAACGUCGCAAGACCAAAGAGGGGGACCUUAGGGCCUCUUGCCAUCGGAUGUGCCCAGAUGGGAUUAGCUAGUAGGUGGGGUAACGGCUCACCUAGGCGACGAUCCCUAGCUGGUCUGAGAGGAUGACCAGCCACACUGGAACUGAGACACGGUCCAGACUCCUACGGGAGGGAGCAGUGGGGAAUAUUGCACAAUGGGCGCAAGCCUGAUGCAGCCAUGCCGCGUGUAUGAAGAAGGCCUUCGGGUUGUAAAGUACUUUCAGCGGGGAGGAAGGGAGUAAAGUUAAUACCUUUGCUCAUUGACGUUACCCGCAGAAGAAGCACCGGCUAACUCCGUG
rnacentral:rRNA from 1 species